AUGAUUGUUAUUAUUACUAAUCAUAACCCUUUAUUUCAUUGACCAUCAUAGACGGUAAUUAUUAUGAAAUUAACCAUUUGGAUCCAACAUGUGGAUUAACUACGGGAAGCAAUCAUCCGCAUCCAAGGCAAUAAAAUGUUUUUAGAUGGACAAUGUAUCAAUUUACAUGUACAAUGUAUAACAAAUAUCAUUAUUAUCAUACAUCAUUAUUAUUACAUUAAGUUGAUAGUUUCAAGAAACACUUGAAGACUCAUUUCUUCAGAGACUAUUUUAAUCUUUUUAAGUCAAAGUCAGUAAAGUGUAGAAACUAAGAGACAAUGUUUUUCUGCGCAUUAACUCUGUGAUGAAUAUCUGAUUUUACAAUGUAUUUAUUAUCCAAGUAACAUUUGCAUGUCUUUUACCAUGUCCUUUAAUAAUAUAGCCAUAUUUUUAAUUAUUUUAAAUACCAUUACUUUCUUUUAUUUGUGAUACCAUGUUUUAGAUUUAGAUUUAGAAUUAAUUGUUUUAUUAUUCUUAAACUACAUUUAUUUAUUACUUUUAAUGAUCUGAUGUGAUAUUGUACAACGCCAUUGAAUAUGUAUUAUAUGUAGAAAUAGGCGUUUAAGCAAAUAAAACAGUUUCAGUUUCAGUUUAUUAUCAGGGCUGGUGACACGUUGUCGGCACAUUUAGAAAAGCUGCCGGAGUUUCUCCUUCAUGACGCCGUGUAUGCCGCUGCCGCCGCGCGCAGUAAUAGUAUUGUAGAAUUUACAAGUUGUGAGAGCGUCCAUGUACAACUAGCAUCAGGGACUGAUUACGCCUUAGGAUAUUUUGUGUUUAUUGAGCUCCAGGACGCCGGCAAAUUAAACGAUCAGGAAAUUGAGUUGGUUGAUGCUGAGAUUUGUGCCAGACAUACAGUGUACGAUGCCAUGCGAAGAAACAACAAACUUAAACCAAUUAAAAUUGUUCACCUAAGGACAGGUGCUUUUCGUGAAAUAAAAAAGUUGAUGCUGUCAUCAAACCCAGAUGCAUUUUACAUGCAGUAUAAGUUGCCAAGAAUCAUGAGAAGGGUCGACAUUUUGAAGGCCAUGCUGGACAUGAAAGUAUAAAUGAAACAUUCGAAAUCAUUGAAAAACUGUUAUCAAUUUUGUAAUUUUAC